rnacentral:misc_RNA from 1 species
UUAAGUUCAGCGGGUAGUCCUACCUGAUUUGAGGUCAAGAUGUUAUUAAAAUUGUCCCAGCAAAGGGACGGUUAUAAGCAGGUUCCCAUAAAUUUGCUUCAAAGUCAAACGGCAUAGAUAAUUAUCACACCAAGUGACGGUCCACAAGAGAUCCCGCUAAUGCUUUUAAGGGGAGCAGACCAUCCACUGAAGGAAGCCAG